AGCAGCAUGCUUGUGGUUUUCCUUGCAGAGUAAGUUUCCCUGCUCCACAAGUAAUCGCCUCCACACACCUUCUCGGUGGAGAGACGGAAGGAGAAAACCAAACGACCCAUUGGAAUGGGAGAAAGAAAGCAGAACAGAUGCAAUGGGUGCGGCCGGGGAGUGUUCUCCUUGGCAUCAGCUGAGGCCACCCUCAGCGCUUGAGUUACUGCGGGGUUGGUGGCCGUGGUCACAGGACAGGGGAGGCUCUGAGGCAGCUGCUGAGUCACGCAGAGCCACUUGGCUGCAUGCGGGGGGGGGCGGGGGCUGUUUCGCACAGCUCCAUCCCCUCCUGAAGUGUUUUUGCCUAGUGGAAAAAACUGUCAACUGUGACCGUGCUUGACUGGACAGAGAGGGACUUUGUGUGUGAGCCGAAACCUCUGAGUUUUGGAGGGCCUGGACUGUCGCCUACCAUAGAAAGGUAGGAGUCACACCUGCUGCCCAACCUACCACUGCCAUCCCCCUGCCCCAAAGUCCCCCUUCUCCAAUAGAAUGGUUCAAAACCUGUGGGGCACUGGAAGAUCACUACAGCAAGUCCAGACUUGGGGGGGGGGAGGUUGACCUUCAAGAGGCCAGUUCCCUCUGGUUUCCCCAGCACAGCACAAGUAACCAAAGAGAAAAGCUGCUGCAGCUGGAGCAACUGAGCCCCUGACCCUGGAGCAGUCAAGCUUUCCACCCACCUCCUCCCUGCAACUCCUAGCUGUUUUGCUCCUGGAUCAGGGCCAAGCAGGCCCACCAAGUCCAGCAAUCUGUUCUCUUGCUGGCCAGCCAGAUUCCCCCACAGGGGAACAAGCAAGCAGCCCCCAGGCACCAGAGCCCAUCUCCCUGGUGUGGCUUCCUGCAAGUGGCCUUCAGAAGCCUCGCUGACCUUGGCUUCCCCGCACCUCACAGGCAAUGCUGGACGAGCUUCGCUGUCGAGGAACAUUGCUGCCCAAGUGCCAACAAGACAGGGGAGGGAGGCCCUGCCCAGACCAUUCCCAUUCACUGGAGCAUGUGCAGAGGGCAACUAAGAUGAACUGUUAGGUACGCUGAC